GAUGAACGCUGGCGGCGUGCCUAAUACAUGCAAGUCGAGCGAACAGACGAGGAGCUUGCUCCUCUGACGUUAGCGGCGGACGGGUGAGUAACACGUGGAUAACCUACCUAUAAGACUGGGAUAACUUCGGGAAACCGGAGCUAAUACCGGAUAAUAUAUUGAACCGCAUGGUUCAAUAGUGAAAGACGGUUUUGCUGUCACUUAUAGAUGGAUCCGCGCCGCAUUAGCUAGUUGGUAAGGUAACGGCUUACCAAGGCAACGAUGCGUAGCCGACCUGAGAGGGUGAUCGGCCACACUGGAACUGAGACACGGUCCAGACUCCUACGGAAGGCAGCAGUAGGGAACCUUCCGCAAUGGGCGAAAGCCUGACGGAGCAACGCCGCGUGAGUGAUGAAGGUCUUCGGAUCGUAAAACUCUGUUAUUAGGGAAGAACAAAUGUGUAAGUAACUAUGCACGUCUUGACGGUACCUAAUCAGAAAGCCACGGCUAACUACGUG
rnacentral:rRNA from 1 species